rnacentral:lncRNA from 1 species
AUGAUAGGGCAGAGAGGAACUUGUUUGCCCCGUCGUGUCGAAACACGCUGCAUAACGCAUGAAAAAUCCCGUCAAACCCUGCCCGGCGCUGAGCCGCAUCCCGAGCAUCCCGGCCGCGCUCCGGCUCCCCCCGGGGAGCUCCAGGAGGCGAAGGAGAAUGGUGCCACAGCCACCACCACCUCCUUUCUGUCCCGAUUCUGGGUCAAGCUGCCCCACACCGUCCCGUCUGGCACCUCCUCAGGCUUCGAGGUGUCCCCCAAAAGCUGCGGGGUGCUCGGGGGGGGGGCCACCUCUGCGCCUCCCCCUGGGGCGGACGGGGAGGGGGGGGCACCUCUGGGUGCUCCCUGCACCCGGCCACGUGCCCGGCACCGGCACCACCGAGGGGCCUGGGGCAGUGGCUGUGACCAGUGCGGCGGGGGCAGCGGGUUCACGUCACGCCUGAUGCCCCCCCCUCGCCACCCCGGGAGGGAAGCGGUGCCCCCCGGGAGCCGCGUGCCGCGCCGCCGCGCCGUCCCCUCGGCGGGGUUAUAUCUGGCGCCGCAUUUGCAUCGCAGCGAGCCGGCGCACCUGGGCGGCCAGCGAAAUCCUCGGGGGAGCGAGAGUGCGGGGGGCAGCUGGCAGUCGUCACACGUGGGGAAAGGAAAGUCCCGGCAGACGAUUGUUUAUAGCCGAGCCUGCUUCCCUCUCCGGGGCAGAGCCCCCACCCUGCGCCCGCGGUGGCUGGGGUGGGAUGGCGACGAUGCUCCGCGGCCGGGCCAUGGCUCCUCGGCCGCUGUUGGUGCCCCCAGCCAGCCCACACCAGCUCCAGAUUUGGCCUCCUGCUGCUCUGCCCCCUCCUUCCCACAGCAGCUGGAAGUGAGGCUGGGGAUGAACUGGGGGGGGGCAAAGCCUGUGGACACCCCCAGCUCUGCUGCGAGGGGCGUUGGGGCUGAUCCUGCACCCCGUCCUUGGGAGCUGCCCCACUGCUGCUUCCUUGGGGCUGGGGGCAUCCCGUGGGGCCUGGCCUCCCUCUGCCCCGUUCCCCGUGGCUCUGUGCUGCUGAGCUGCAGCCGGGGGCCCCCCCUCGCUGUUCCCUGGGGCCAAGUGCAGCCCCCCCCCCGUCCCUGCCCCCCGGAGCGGAGAAAGUUAGUCAAAUCUGCAGAAACCGCAGCAGGGGGAGGCUGCGUCUCCGCCGCCGGCUUUGAUGUCACCCCUGCACGUCCCGCAGGUGCUGCGCCGUUGCCAUAA